AAUCUUACGCAAUGGGCGAAAGCCUGACGCAGCCAUGCCGCGUGAAGGAUGAAGGUCUUGGGAUUGUAAAAUUCUUUUACCUGGCACGAUAAUAUCGGUACCCGGGCGAGAAGCUCCGGCUAAUCUCGUUCCGUCCCCCGCGGUACUACGAAGGGGGCUAGCGUUGCCCGGAAUUACUGGGCGUAAAGGUCGCGUAGGCGGACAUUUAAGUUAGGGGUGAAAGCCAUGAGCGCAACUCUGGAACUGACUUUGAUACUGGGUGUCUUGAGUGUGAGAGAGGUAUGUGGAACUCCGAGUGUAGAGGUGAAAUUCGUAGAUAGUCGGAAGAACACCAGUGGCGAAGGAGACAUACUGGCUCAUUACUGACGCUGAGGCGCGAAAGCGUGGGGAGCAAACA
rnacentral:rRNA from 1 species